UACGUAGGGUGCGAGCGUUGUCCGGAAUUAUUGGGCGUAAAGGGCUCGUAGGCGGUUUGUCGCGUCGGGAGUGAAAACCCAGGGCUUAACCCUGGGCUGGCUUCCGAUACGGGCAGACUAGAGGUAUGCAGGGGAGAACGGAAUUCCUGGUGUAGCGGUGAAAUGCGCAGAUAUCAGGAGGAACACCGGUGGCGAAGGCGGUUCUCUGGGCAUUUCCUGACGCUGAGGCGCGAAAGCGUGGGGAGCAAACGGG
rnacentral:rRNA from 1 species